AAGUCGUAACAAGGUCUCCGUUGGUGAACCAGCGGAGGGAUCAUUACCGAGUUUACAACUCCCAAACCCCUGUGAACAUACCAUAUCGUUGCCUCGGCGGUGCCCGUUUCGGCGGCCCGCCAGAGGACCCAAACCCUGUAUUAAAGUAUUCUUCUGAGUAAAUGAUUAAAUCAAUCAAAACUUUCAACAACGGAUCUCUUGGCUCUG
rnacentral:misc_RNA from 1 species